AACGCAAAUUGCGCUGUUGGGUCACCCUGACAGCAUGCCUCUUUCAGUAUCGUUUCUACCCAUCUCUAAAAGCUUUUUGCUUUUGGGAAAAUGAGAGUCUUUAUCCACCGCGGUAAAGUCUCUUGAAGUCGAUCGAGUUUCGAACUCUGGUUCCCUCUUUCACUAGAGGCUCUUCAAGCUCAAUUCUCAACGGAGACAGUUGGCCUUUGUGUCAAAUCAAUUCUACGUUGAUACCAAAAAUUGGGUCUGGAGGGAGUAGCAAGAGCUGAGAAUACUUUCCAACGUCCCCACAAAAGGACACCACCUAACGAUCUGAUCUGAAAUGAGGUAAGAUUACCCGCUGAACUUAA
rnacentral:misc_RNA from 1 species